rnacentral:misc_RNA from 1 species
AAGGAUCAUUAAAACAGUGAAAAGGGCGAGUUGGCGGAGGGGGAGUAAGUGGGAUGUUGGUUGGGUGUGGGUUGGGCGACACACUUUUGGGUUGGUUGGGCAGAGGCGCCAGUGACGUGGCGUGGAAGCGUUUGAUUGGCUGGAUUGGCGGGAUGGCGUGACGUGCAACGUGACGUGACGUGACGUGUUUUGCACACACACCAUCUCACUCCCCACAUCUCAAUCUAAUCUCACACUCGCGCUGUGCCUGGCAAAACACAAUGAACUUUUUUAUAAACUUCACACCUUACAACUUGCGACAAUGGAUCUCUGGGCUCUU